UACAGAGGUCCCAAGCGUUGUUCGGAUUCACUGGGCGUAAAGGGUGCGUAGGCGGCCGGGUAAGUCUGAUGUGAAAUCCCGCAGCUUAACUGCGGAACUGCAUCGGAUACUCUCUGGCUAGAGGAAUGGAGGGGAGACUGGAAUUCUCGGUGUAGCAGUGAAAUUCGUAGAUAUCGGGAGGAACACCAGUGGCGAAGGCGGCGACCUGGGCCAAUACUGACGCUGAGGUGCGAAAGCGUGGGGAGCAAACAGG
rnacentral:rRNA from 1 species